UACGUAGGGUGCAAGCGUUUGUCCGGAAUUAUUGGGCGUAAAGAGCUCGUAGGCGGUCUGUCGCGUCUGCUGUGAAAACCUGGGGCUUAACCCCGGGCCUGCAGUGGGUACGGGCAGACUAGAGUGUGGUAGGGGGAGACUGGAAUUCCUGGUGUAGCGGUGAAAAUGCGCAGAUAUCAGGAGGAACACCGGUGGCGAAGGCGGGUCUCUGGGCCAUAACUGACGCUGAGGAGCGAAAGCGUGGGGGAGCGAACAGG
rnacentral:rRNA from 1 species